AAAGAGAAGAGGUGGAGUCUGAAGGGUCGCUCCCCUCCCGCCCCCUUGGGGAGCCAGGAAGGAAGGACACAGGACAGUUGGGCGGACAAUGCCAAGCCGGCCGUACUCCCGAAGGAGGGAAAGUAGCGAGCCGGAGGAGGGCGGGAGAGUUUCCUUCGGGCACUUAGUUUUGCUCUUGGGGCCGAACUACACGUGACGCCAAGCGCGUCACUUUUAAGUUGCGCGGCUGCUUUUCCAGUCGCCGGAGGGGCGUCCUGGGGUAGCCUCGCUCUCCUUCCCACUCGGCUCUGGGGUCUCCGCUUCGACGUAGCCGGGCGGCGGCGGCGGCGCUCUUUGGGGAAGGCAGAGGGUGGAAAUUGCGCGCGGGCGGAGGAAGGAAAGAACUUGGCGGACCGCCAGGCAAGGGGGAAAUUACAGUCCCUUACAAGCUCUGGCGUUGGUGGCAUAAUGGAGCCAGUUCUGCAGGUGCAGCAACAGGAGAUUGGCUAACAAGAACAGUGAUCCUAAAAAUGUAUGAGGUGUCUUAGGAGUUCAAAUGAGAAUACUGGAUUUUUGUUUGUUUUUUAUUCUGGAAGAGCAGGACAGAGACUUAAGUGGUUAUCGGAAGAUCCUGUGGUGCCACUGACUUUCCCAGGAUACUUGUGCAGUAUCAUCUGGAGGUGGACUCAUCACCAUCGGGAGACUUGAAAAUAUUUUGAACUGGAAUGGUCUGGAGCUUGGAGAUAUGGAUCUAAUAACAGACACAACAUUCAGAUACAACAUGCCAAAGCUUAGGUGCCAUCACUAUCAAGGAGACCUGUUUCUGGCUGCUGCAACACCAGAAUCACAAGCUGGCCUGACCUUAAUUGAUGUGUGAGCCACACAGAAGAAACCCGCCUUCAGAAACGGGGGACAACAGACGGGAGGAAUAAGAAAGAUAUGGAAGUAUUCUCAGCACAGGCCCACAAAAUCUUUGCAGCCUCUAUAUACAGGAAUGAAACCUCUCAAGUGGAAUCAUUUCCUCCUACCAGUGAUUGCUCCAGAUACGGAAGCAAACUUGGACAAAAUGCUCACCUUCAUUCUCAGAGGUGUGUAACUCCAUGCAAAGAACAACAACAAAAAAGGAGGGGGAUGAAUUGGGAUAAUAAAUAAUGGAAAGUAGACAGCAUGCAAGUAAAGUACAUUUUAUCCCAUUUUACCUUCACAAGAACUUCGGUGAUGUAUCAUCAGGAUAAAUGAAUAUCACCUGUGCAAAGCUUCAUUGUGACUAUCAUACCUGAGUCAGGGUUAUUCAUUUAAAACAUUUAAGUACUGUAUACUCCCUUAACAGUUCUGAAUGCUAUUUUGCCAAGUCCAACACUUCAUUCGGUACAUUGUAUCAGAGGAGACAUCAAGAGAAAUGGUAGUAACAAAAAUGUGCAGUCCAAAUACUGGGUCCAUAUUUUGAUGACUGGAGAUGCUACAGGAGAGAAAAAUCCUUUCCAACCAUGACUCCUUACACCCUUCACCCCAGAUCUGAAGCUUGGAGGAUCUUCCAAAAUAUCUCUACCUGAUGUCUACAGAAUCCAGGGAUAGCUGCCCCAAGAAAAUAUGUUAAUGAACAUCACAAGUAGGCAACAUGUAAGUUUUACCAUCAUGUCAAUCAGUAAGCUUUUCCGAGGAAUCUUAUUUGUUUUCAAGACCGAGACCUGAUAUCUCCCAUUCUCUGGCUCUGAUAACAAGCAACGGCACUAUUCAGCUUGGUUAUUCUCUCUCAAAGGGUUAAGUUUAUACAUUGUGCUAAGCCACAAUUCAAAGCUUAUAAUGACUAAUUCAAAAUGUAACAUGCUAAGCCAAACACUGUGGCAAAGUAUACCUCAUGAACUUAGUUUUUAUAUAAACAGUGGUACAGCUGUAAAUGACAUAGAUUUUAUUAUGGUGUUUCUACUUUUUGAAACAGUUGUCAUUAUGGAAAUCAGAGGAGCUGUAUGUAUCUAAUGUAGGAACUAUCAAAUACACAUUGUCAUACAAUUUUCAUAUAACUGUGGCUUUGCUGAAAACCUGAGGUAGCCCUGUAAACUCCUAUGGUGAUUAAGUUAGAACAGCUAUGAUAUAUAAAUAUGCACCAAAUUUUGUGUAAUCAGUAACCAGCUAUAUUAACAAAAGAAUGAAACCACUCUAUAUUGAAAAUUUUAAAAAUUCAAAAACAUGUAAGAAUUAUGUAGCAUUCUUAUGGUCUUAGCUCCAAAUCUGGAGUUUUCAAAAUAUUGGAUAAAUUGCUACUUUUAUGAAACAAGCAUUUUAAAUCAUGUGGUUUAUCUAUGUAAUUUCUUUCUUUCUCAACUCUUCUAGUAUAUUAAGAUACUUAGAAUUUUUGUCUAAAAUCGGUUAGUUACUAAUAAUUAUUCUUCAUUUGAGGGGCCAUUAAAUGACCAUUUCUGGUCCUGAAGCAGCAUAAUAAAGCUAACUAAAGUAAUCAUUCAUAGAUAGCCAAGUCCUACAACUUACAUUAAUUUAAAGGAGCUCUGUGAUCUGUGUGACUGCAAAAAGGAAAGUGUCAUUCAAUGCCUCCUCAUAACUAAGAAAUUUUAGACAAGACUCUAAGUACCUUAAUAACCUGGAAAUAUGACAGAAUUGAUGCUAUCAAAUGGAAUAACAGGUAGUUGCAACUGAAAACAAUUAUUAUCCAUGGAAAAACCAUACAUUAAUAAGUUAAAAGAUAGGAAGAGAUUCAGUGAAUUUUUUCUGCUGAUGUUUGGUUUGUGUCAAAAGAGCAAUUAUCCUUUCUCUUGUGCUUUCAAAAUCUGUUCUGGAGGUUUGCAGACCCUUCAAGACAGAUCUCAGAAGAUAUGGGGUGGCUAACAAAGAGAGGUCAGGAGGAGAAAUCACAUUGUGCAUGUACAUUAUAUUGGAAUAAACUUAACUAAAAAGUUACAGGGUUUGUAAAAUUGAAUCUCAGUUGAAGAAACAGAUAAAUAUUAGUAUGAAAGCCAUGGGAAGUAAUACUGCUUUUGUGCCAGGCAAUGGCAAGAGUACAGCUGGACUUCCUUAUCUCCACUGAAAACAAUAUUCAAAUAUAUAAAGUUGGCUAUGAAACCUCAGAAUAAUCUUUGGAACUUCAUGGUUUGCCAUACCAGCAAUUACUAAUCAAGUCACAUAGUCUGAGCAAAUACUUUAAAAAUGUUGGAACUGUUCACAUGCAGAGAACUAUUAUGAGAACAACUCCUAAACUAUUUUUUUUUUUUUUUUGCACACUAAAGGAUAUAAGCUUCCAUUGAAGAAAGCUUCACAAAAUUCAACAUAAUACACUUUAAAAUAGCAGUGUAGAGUUGAAUAUUUCAAGUCUAUGUUGAAACACACACUUAUUUCUGGAGCAGGAUGAAUGCAAGUUUAGAGGGGAGUAUAGAGCAUGCACCUUGAAUCACAGAACUGCAAUGUACAUUUGUGCACUUGCUCCCCUACUCAUAGCUAACUUGAAUAAACUGUCACACAGCAUAAAACAACAGGUACAAGCCUAUUUGCAAAGGAAUCUCAUUUUCUCAUUAUGGUGGGGACCUCAUUUUAACAUGUACAGUAAGUUGUGAGUGUAGGACUGAGACACUGGACCAAAACAUUAACUAUAGCAAUUCAAAACCAAUUCAGUUGUUCAAAGUUUUUGCACCAUUAAUUUCCUAUUCUACUAAAACAAACAAACAAGACACACACACACAUGCACACACACACGCUGUGUCUAUUAAUAUUAGAUCCACAUUAAUUUUUGUAAUCAUGUGGUUGUGGUCGCCAAAUAUUUUCCUUACAGUAUCUACAGAAGAACAAACACUUUAAAAAUAGAUGUCUUUUCUUGAGAGUCUGCUUAAAAACUUGACGCCACUACCAUCCUGCACUUGGCUGAUCUUAAAAAAAAAAAAAAUCUAAGCAGGAUUUGACCUGGUUAGUUCUUGAACAGGAGACCACUAAAAAAUAGCAGGGUUGUAGGCUAGACUGGAAAAUUAAAAAUCCAUCCCAGAAGAAGCCAGUGGCAACCAAGUUAUGUACAGUUGCCAAGAAAAUUACAUUAAUGUGUCCAUGAACUCACCAGUGGAGUUUGGUUCAAAGUAACUUUUCCUUUUAACAAGUAUGAUGUGACACAUAUCUAGCCAGAGGAAAAGAUCCCUAAAGAAAAUAAAGCACCUUAAAAGUUCUAGUGACUGAAUCCAUAUCCUUGCCUAUCUUUCAUACAGAGAAUGUGGGUCUGAUGAUUUACUUAUUUAUUUAUAUUUCAAAUUUGUCACCGCCCAUCUCACUACAAAGCAAUGAUGUCACAAUCAAAUUAGCUAAACUAUUAGCUAUUCUGAUGGCUUCAAGGGACUAAUUAGAUAUGAUGUGCAUGGAUAUAUAUAAGUCUUCCUGGUGCCCUAAACUGACACUGUAGUCCAAGAAACACUUUGAGUGAAAUAUUUUUAAAUAUUAAAUACCCUUGAAUGAGGAUUUUAAACGAUGAAAAUAACUUUUUAUGAAAGGUUAAGAAAGAAUAUGCAACUGUAUACCAUUUCCAAAAUCAGGGCUGAGUUGUUCUGCUGUAAGUAAAUAACAUCCACACAGAUUUCAGCUGGGGUUUGGUUCAGAGUUGCAGAUUAAGGAAUAAUAAGCACUCUUAUAGUGCAAUCCUACAUACGGUAUAUCUAUUCAGAAAUCAGUCACAUUGUUUCAAGAGGGCUUACUCCCACAUAAGUGCACACUGGCUUGCAUCCAUUCUGCUUCAGUGGCUCUUCUUUUCAUUAGUCAUACAUCUAUUCUUAACCACAUUGUAACAGAUAAAGCACUUUAAUCACUUUCCAUCAUUUUUUAAGAUUUGGAGCCUCCCAGAGAUCCAGAAUAAAGCUGAGAGAGAGACAGCAAUUUGCACCUUGGCAUCUCCACAAUAUCUAGCUAGUCAGGAACUUUACCAACUACAUAAGAAGAUAUACAAUAUUGUAAUUGUAUUGUACAGUGUUGUAAUCUUUUCUAUUUCUGUAACAACUUAAUUAGUCUUACUUUACAAUUAAAGUAAGACUAUUUUGCUAAUUAUGUAGAGUUGUUGGGAGUUGGGCAGCGUUGAAUUAAAAUAUUUAUCUAUCUAUCAUCUAUCUAUCUAAUAAACCUUGGAAUGAAGCCUGCUUUAUGCAUGUUUUUAAAACUUUCCUGGGGAUGCAUCUUUUAAGAAAAGAUAUAGCUAUUACUAAAGACAUAGUUAAUACCUCAGUAUCUCUGGGCAGUGGUUACCUUCAGUGACCAGUUUUCUACUGGCAUCCUGCCCCUUAGAAACUAGCAUGUAGUAAGUGAAAGAAAUGAGUGAGGAAUCCAGCGGUAUGAUUCUAGUACCAUUAACAUUAUGUAAUGGAUUUUAAAUAAUUAGUGAAAUAGAAGUGUGUGCCAGGAGAAAGAUAGCAAAUUUAUAGUGCCAGACUAACUUUUGCCUGAAUAAUCCCAAAGUCAUUGAGCCUAAUGCAAACACAGUCCCACAGAAUGUUUGGUACAGUCAAGUCAUUUCAAGUCAAAUGCAAGUUCAGUUCAAAUCAUGGACUCAUCCAUACAGUUUUCUCAACAGUAACUGUAAUUUGAUUUAUAUCCUGCCUUUCUAGCCAUAAUCAAAAGGUGAACUACCUAAAGCAACUAUAAUGUUAAAAAAGGAUGCAGUAACUUUAAUGCACUGAUAUUGUGAAGUAGGGUUAAGAGAGGUAUCUGUGUUGCACAGGAACUCAUAAUUCAGUGUAAAAGCUAUAUUUUCAAAGCAUUAAGUUUUCCUAAACCUAAAAUUCAAAUUUAGAAACUACAUUAUAGUUUGAAAAUUGCAUACUGUUAUCAUUUUCCAGUUUAAAAAAACAGAAACCAAUCUAGAUGUGGACAGAAGAUAGGACUUCUGGAAA